rnacentral:rRNA from 1 species
UAGGGAAUCUUCCGCAAUGGACGCAAGUCUGACGGAGCAACGCCGCGUGCGUGAAGAAGGAUUUCGGUUCGUAAAACUCUGUUGUUAGAGAAGAACAGCGCAUAGAGUAACUGUUAUGCGUGUGACGGUAUCUAACCAGAAAGCCACGGCUAACUACGUGCCAGCAGCCGCGGUAAUACGUAGGUGGCAAGCGUUGUCCGGAUUUAUUGGGCGUAAAGCGAGCGCAGGCGGUCAAUUAAGUCUGAUGUGAAAGCCCCCGGCUCAACCGGGGAGGGUCAUUGGAAACUGGUUGACUUGAGUGCAGAAGAGGAGGGUGGAAUUGCAUGUGUAGCGGUGAAAUGCGUAGAUAUAAGGAGGAACGCCAGUGGAGAAGGCGACUCUCUGGUAUGUAACUGACGCUGAGGCUCGAAAGCGUGGGUAGCAAACAGG